GUCCUGUUCCCUCUUGUUCUGGUAGAGAAUAGCUUCUCUUUCAGAUUCUCAUGCUUGCUUCCUCUCAGCAGAAAAUGAGGCUCCCCUGAGCCUCCCAUGAGAAAAUCUGAAGAUUGAGAGAGGAAGGCAUUAACUCCCUAAAAUAGUUGACUACCAGAAUAUGAUUGUGCUCACAUCCUGUCUCAGAGUCUAUUUCUGCGUGAAUCCAACUGAACAUGUGAUCAAAACCACCUGAGAAACCUGGAAUCAGUUCCUUUGAGACUACAGCUCACUCAAAGAAAAAAGAAUUACCUCUCUGUCCAGAAAAGUAUUCAUUGUUCGAAUUUCUGCAGUGUAUCUGUUGAUAAUAAACAUUGG